rnacentral:rRNA from 1 species
GCCUUUCUCAAAGCGCAGUUUAUUUGCCAAUUUUGAUCGGCUCGCUCGCCUGAAUUGCGCGGGACGAGUCGAUAAAAGUCGUUGAAUGGCCAGAUAAAUUUGCUGAUCGCACGGUCUUAGUACUGGCGACGAAUCUUUGAAACGACUUGCCUAUCAACUGUCGAUGGCAGGCUACGUGCCUACCAUGGUGACAACGGUUAACGGGGAAUCAGGGUUCGAUUCCGGAGAGAGAGCCUGAGAGACGGCUACCACAUCCAAGGAAGGCAGCAGGCACGCAAAUUACCCACUCCCAGAAUGGGGAGGUAGUGACGAUAAAUAACGGAACGUAUCUCGACGAGACGCGUUACCGGAACGACUGAGCCGUAUACAAGCUCGGCGAAAGCUAUUGGAGGGCAAGUCUGGUGCCAGCAGCCGCGGUAAUUCCAGCUCCAAUAGCGUAUAUUAAACUUGCUGCGGUUGAACCGCUCGUAGUUGGAUUGUGAACCGUGACCACGGUCCUCUAAGUGAAGAGGAAUGGCUUUGCCGCCGUUGGUCGUGAUCAAUGAUGUCAUAGUUGUCCGGAUGCUCUUCAUCGGGUGUCUUGGACGGCAUGAAUGUUUACUUUGAGAAAAUAAGAGCGCCCAAAGCAGGCUGCUAUAUGCUUGAACGGGAUUUCAUGGGAUAGG